GCAGAAUGAGUCACUGAGCCCAGAAGGACUGGAGGGUUCGGUCUCUCUCCCGCCAGAUUUCUGGUCAAAUGCUGGAGCGUGCAGAGGCAGGAGCAGCUCUGCUGGGAGAAGACCACUGCAGAGCCUGGACCGCAGGGGGACGCUGAGCCCAGGACAGCAGAGCCCUAGAACAAUCCUCAGAUCAUGAGGUUGGAGGACUGUGACUCAGGUACUGGCAAAGGAAAUGAGUAUUUGAUGUGAUUAAGAGUCACUUCAUGGAGAAAGUGGAACCCUCGUACAGUGCAGGUCAGAAUGCAAAAUGGUACACCCACUUUGGAAAACCAUCUGGUAGUGGUUUAAAUGAUUAAACAUAGAGUUAGCCUACAACCCAGCAAUUCUGCUCCUAAGUAUAUGCCCAAGAGAAAUGAGUCCAUGCAAAUACAUGUACAUGAAUAUUCACUGCAGCACUCUUCACAAUAGCCAAGACAGGGAAACAGCCCAAAUGUCUAUCAGCUGAUGAAUGUACAAACAAAAUGUGUUCUGUCCAUACAAUGGCAGACUAUCUGGCCAUAAAAAGGAAGGGAGUACUGAUACAUGCUAAAACAUGGAGGAACCUUGAAAACAUGAUGCUAAGUGCAAUAAGCUCUUACUAGAGGACAAAUAUUGUAUAACUCUGUUUAUAUGAAAUGUCCAGAAUAGGGACAUCUAUAGAGACAAAAUCCAAUUAGUGGUUGCUCAGGGCAGGGGGGAUGGAGGGGCAGGAAGUUGAGAGCUGAAGGGUCUCCUUUCUGAGGCUGUGAAAUGAGGUAACGGUGAUUGUGGUGGCAUACAUCUGAAUACGUGAAAACUAUUGAAUUUUACGCUUUCAGUGCUGAAUUGUAUAGUAUGUGAAUUCUAUCUCAAUAAAACUGUUUUAAAAAGUCGUUUCAAUGGAAGUAUUGGCAGACUCGUGUGAAAGACCGGAUAUGGGAGAUAAAAGAGAGGGAAGGGGAGUCCCACUGGUCACAGGAGUUGCCCUGUUCAUGUCUCAACUCUCGUCUGUUCCCAGGGGGUCCUGUAGGCCCCCUGGGCUCCUCAGUAAAUAAGAGGGGAGAAGAGAGAGAGCAAGGAACAGCCCGGGCCCAGGCAGCAUUAGCGCGUCCACAGUGCACACACAUAACGAUGCACCGCUGUCGGUAACAGGGAGACUAAGGCUCUGAAAGCAGAAUUCAAGCAUCUUGAAAGCUAGAGGGAGAAGAAAUUCCCCGUGGCCUCGGAGUGCUCAGAGCAUGCAUCUCAAGGCCUCCCCAUUAAUCUGAGGUGUUUUCCAUAUUCAGCAGGAAACCACUUUGAAAGCUGCAGGUGGAUUAAGAGCCCGAGAGGGACAGAGCCCCAGUGCCUCUGUCACCGCUCAUUCUGCAACGUGGGACAAGCCAUCCCCUCCUCCACCGCAGCCUCCUCAGCUGCGCAUCACAGGUCACAGACCCAGAUCUUCAGAAACAUGUUUGCGCUAAGAAUGCAAUAAAAAAAGAUAUUGUAAACCACUUGUAUCUGUCAAGACUUUGAAAAAUGUUAAUAAAAUGGCUGUGUCCAAGUUCCA